rnacentral:rRNA from 1 species
AUUGAACGCUGGCGGCGUGCCUAACACAUGCAAGUCGAGCGGUAACAGGUGUAGCAAUACAUGCUGACGAGCGGCGGACGGGUGAGUAACGCUUGGGAAUCUGCCUAUUAGUGGGGGACAACCCGGGGAAACUCGGGCUAAUACCGCAUACGCUCUACGGAGGAAAGCCGGGGACCGCAAGGCCUGGCGCUAAUAGAUGAGCCCAAGUCGGAUUAGCUAGUUGGUAGGGUAAUGGCCUACCAAGGCGACGAUCCGUAACUGGUCUGAGAGGACGACCAGUCACACCGGAACUGAGACACGGUCCGGACUCCUACGGGAGGCAGCAGGUGGGGAAUAUUGGACAAUGGGCGAAAGGCCUGAUCCAGCGACGCCGCGUGGGUGAAGAAGGCCUGCGGGUUGUAAAG